rnacentral:rRNA from 1 species
GGUCAAGCGAAUAAGCGCACACGGUGGAUGCCUUGGCGGUCAGAGGCGAUGAAGGACGUGGCAGCCUGCGAAAAGUAUCGGGGAGCUGGCAACAAGCUUUGAUCCGGUAAUGUCCGAAUGGGGAAACCCACCCGCUUGCGGGUAUCCUGCAGUGAAUACAUAGCUGCUGGAAGCGAACCUGGUGAACUGAAAUAUCUAAGUAACCAGAGGAAAAGAAAUCAACCGAGAUUCCGUAAGUAGCGACGAGCGAACGCGGACUAGCCCUUAAGCUGGAUUGGUUCUAGGAAAACGCUCUGGAAAGAGCGGCCAUAGAAGGUGAUAGCCCUGUAUCUGAAAGGGCCAUUCCAGUGAAGACGAGUAGGGCGGGGCACGUGAAACCCUGUCUGAACAUGGGGGGACCAUCCUCCAAGGCUAAAUACUACUGACCGACCGAUAGUGAACCAGUACCGUGAGGGAAAGGCGAAAAGAACCCCGGAGAGGGGAGUGAAAUAGAACCUGAAACCGUGUGCGUACAAGCAGUAGGAGCUCCGCAAGGAGUGACUGCGUACCUUUUGUAUAAUGGGUCAGCGACUUACUGUUCGUGGCAAGCUUAACCGUAUAGGGGAGGCGAAGGGAAACCGAGUCUGAUAAGGGCGCAUAGUCGCGGGCAGUAGACCCGAAACCGGGUGAUCUAGUCAUGCCCAGGGUGAAGGUGCGGUAACACGCACUGGAGGCCCGAACCCACUCCCGUUGCAAAGGUAGGGGAUGAGGUGUGAUUAGGAGUGAAAAGCUAAUCGAACCCGGAGAUAGCUGGUUCUCCUCGAAAGCUAUUUAGGUAGCGCCUCAUAUGUAUCCUCUCGGGGGUAGAGCACUGUUAUGGCUAGGGGGUCAUCGCGACUUACCAAACCAUUGCAAACUCCGAAUACCGAGACGGACUGUAUGGGAGACACACGGCGGGUGCUAACGUCCGUCGUGAAAAGGGAAACAACCCAGACCCACAGCUAAGGUCCCAAAUUUUGUGCUAAGUGGAAAACCAUGUGGAAAGGCACAGACAGCCAGGAGGUUGGCUUAGAAGCAGCCACCCUUUAAAGAAAGCGUAAUAGCUCACUGGUCGAGUCGGUCUGCGGGGAAGAUUUAACGGGGCUAAGCACAG